rnacentral:rRNA from 1 species
AGAUUGAACGCUGGCGGCAGGCCUAACACAUGCAAGUCGAGCGCGAAAGUUCCUUCGGGAAUGAGUAGAGCGGCGGACGGGUGAGUAACGCGUAGGAAUUUGCCCAGUAGUGGGGGACAACUCGGGGAAACUCGAGCUAAUACCGCAUACGCCCCAAGGGGGAAAGCAGGGGAUCUUCGGACCUUGCGCUAUUGGAUAAGCCUGCGUCGGAUUAGCUAGUUGGUGGGGUAAGGGCCUACCAAGGCAACGAUCCGUAGCUGGUCUGAGAGGAUGAUCAGCCACACUGGGACUGAGACACGGCCCAGACUCCUACGGGAGCAGCAGUGGGAAUAGUUGGACAAGUGGGGGACAACCCGUAGAUCCAGCCAUCGACCGCGUGUGUAGAAGGAAGGUCCGUUAAGGGUAGUAAGGCUAC